rnacentral:tRNA from 1 species
GGUUCCAUAGUGUAGCGGAUAGCACGUCUGCUUUACACGCAGAAGGGCCUGGGUUUGUGCGCCAGUAGAGCCA